AGCUUGCUCCUUUGAAGUUAGCGGCGGACGGGUGAGUAACACGUGGGUAACCUACCUAUAAGACUGGAAUAACUCCGGGAAACCGGGGCUAAUGCCGGAUAACAUGUUGAACCGCAUGGUUCAACAGUGAAAGACGGUCUUGCUGUCACUUAUAGAUGGACCCGCGCCGUAUUAGCUAGUUGGUGGGGUAACGGCCUACCAAGGCGACGAUACGUAGCCGACCUGAGAGGGUGAUCGGCCACACUGGAACUGAGACACGGUCCAGACUCCUACGGGAGGCAGCAGUAGGGAAUCUUCCGCAAUGGGCGAAAGCCUGACGGAGCAACGCCGCGUGAGUGAUGAAGGUCUUCGGAUCGUAAAGCUCUGUUGUUAGGGAAGAACAAAUGUGUAAGUAACUGUGCACGUCUUGACGGUACCUAACCAGAAAGCCACGGCUAACUACGUGCCAGCAGCCGCGGUAAUACGUAGGUGGCAAGCGUUAUCCGGAAUUAUUGGGCGUAAAGCGCGCGUAGGCGGUUUUUUAAGUCUGAUGUGAAAGCCCACGGCUCAACCGUGGAGGGUCAUUGGAAACUGGAAAACUUGAGUGCAGAAGAGGAAAGUGGAAUUCCAUGUGUAGCGGUGAAAUGCGCAGAGAUAUGGAGGAACACCAGUGGCGAAGGCGGCUUUCUGGUC
rnacentral:rRNA from 1 species